GAUGAACGCUGGCGGCGUGCCUAAUACAUGCAAGUCGAGCGAACGGACGAGGAUCUUGCCUCUCUGAUGUUAGCGGCGGGCGGGUGAUUAAUACGUGGAUAACCUACCUAUAAGACUGGGAUAACUUAGGGGAACCGUAGCUAACAUCCGAUAAUAUUUUGAACGGGAUGGUUCAACAGUGAUAGACGGACUUGCUGUCACUUAUAGAUGGAUCCGCGCUGCAUUAGCUAGUUGGUAAGGUAACGGCUUACCAAGGCAACGAUGCAUAGCCGACCUGAGAGGGUGAUCGGCCACACUGGAACUGAGACACGGUCCAGACUCCUACGGGAGGCAGCAGUAGGGAAUCUUCCGCAAUGGGCGAAAGCCUGACGGAGCAACGCCGCGUGAGUGAUGAAGGUCUUCGGAUCGUAAAACUCUGUUAUUAGGGAAGAACAUAUGUGUAAGUAACUGUGCACAUCUUGACGGUACCUAAUCAGAAAGCCACGGCUAACUACGUG
rnacentral:rRNA from 1 species